UGGGGAAUAUUGGACAAUGGGCGCAAGCCUGAUCCAGCCAUGCCGCGUGAGUGACGAAGGCCUUAGGGUUGUAAAGCUCUUUUGGCGGGGAAGAUAAUGACGGUACCCGCAGAAUAAGCUCCGGCUAACUUCGUGCCAGCAGCCGCGGUAAUACGAAGGGAGCUAGCGUUGUUCGGAAUCACUGGGCGUAAAGCGCACGUAGGUGGGCAGUUAAGUCAGGGGUGAAAGCCCGAGGCUCAACCUCGGAAUUGCCUCUGAUACUGGCUGUCUAGAGUUCGAGAGAGGUGAGUGGAAUUCCUAGUGUAGAGGUGAAAUUCGUAGAUAUUAGGAAGAACACCGGUGGCGAAGGCGGCUCACUGGCUCGAUACUGACACUGAGGUGCGAAAGCGUGGGGAGCAAACAGGAUUAGAUACCCCCGUAGUCCCUGAGCGGCUGGCAAGGCGCAU
rnacentral:rRNA from 1 species